AUACUAUUCCCUCCGUUCGGAAUUACUUGUCUUGGAUAUGGAUGUAUCUAGAACUAAAAUACAUCUAGAUACAUCCAUUUCUGCGACAAGUAAUUCCGAACAGAGGGAGUAGAUG
rnacentral:pre_miRNA from 1 species